GGGUUUCCGCCCUUCAGUGCCGGAGCUAACGCAUUAAGCACUCCGCCUGGGGAGUACGACCGCAAGGUUGAAACUCAAAGGAAUUGACGGGGGCCCGCACAAGCGGUGGAGCAUGUGGUUUAAUUCGAAGCUACGCGAAGAACCUUACCAGGUCUUGACAUCUUGCGCUAACCUUAGAGAUAAGGCGUUCCCUUCGGGGACGCAAUGACAGGUGGUGCAUGGUCGUCGUCAGCUCGUGUCGUGAGAUGUUGGGUUAAGUCCCGCAACGAGCGCAACCCUUGUUACUAGUUGCCAGCAUUAAGUUGGGCACUCUAGUGAGACUGCCGGUGACAAACCGGAGGAAGGUGGGGACGACGUCAGAUCAUCAUGCCCCUUAUGACCUGGGCUACACACGUGCUACAAUGGACGGUACAACGAGUCGCAAGCUCGCGAGAGUAAGCUAAUCUCUUAAAGCCGUUCUCAGUUCGGACUGUAGGCUGCAACUCGCCUACACGAAGUCGGAAUCGCUAGUAAUCGCGGAUCAGCAUGCCGCGGUGAAUACGUUCCCGGGCCUUGUACACACCGCCCGUCACACCAUGGGAGUUUGUAACGCCCAAAGUCGGUGGC
rnacentral:rRNA from 1 species